AUUGAACGCUAGCGGGAUGCUUUACACAUGCAAGUCGAACGAGUGGCGGACGGGUGAGUAAUAUAUCGGAACGUGCACAGUAGCGGGGGAUCACUACUCGAAAGAGUGGCUAAUACCGCAUACUAUUGUAGAGGCCGAUAUCGGAUUAGCUAGUUGGUGGGGUAAAGGCUCACCAAGGCAACGAUCCGGAGCUGGUAUGCUAGGACGACCCGCCACACGGGGCCUGAGACACGGCCCAGACCACUACGGUAGGCAGCAGUGGGGAAGUUUGGACAAGGGGGGAAACCCUGAUCCAGCCAUCCCGCGUGUAUGAGAAGGCAUGCGGGUUGUAAAGUACUUUUGGCAGAGAAGCGGUAUCUGCAGAAUAAGCACCGGCUAACUACGUGCCAGCAGCCGCGGUAAUUC
rnacentral:rRNA from 1 species